CGCCUGUUUAUCAAAAACAUCGCCUCUUGUUCAAUUAUAGGAGGUCCAGCCUGCCCAGUGACUUUGUUCAACGGCCGCGGUAUCCUAACCGUGCGAAGGUAGCGUAAUCACUUGUUCUUUAAAUGAGGACUAGUAUGAAUGGCCCCACGAGGGCUGCACUGUCUCCUUUUUCUAAUCAAUGAAAMUAAUCUCCCCGUGAAGAAGCGGGAAUUAUCCUAUAAGACGAGAAGACCCUAUGGAGCUUUAAACAAUUGAAACAUUUGCUUUUCUCCUAACUCCUCCCGAGCUCUUUAUUUUUAUUUAAGCAUUAUUAUUUCUAGUUUUAGGUUGGGGUGACCACGGAGCAAAACUAAACCUCCAUGAAGAAAUGAAUAUUUUUAAGCCACAAAMUACUUUUUUAAGCAUCAACAAAUUGACCUUCAUUGACCCAAUAUAUUGAUCAACGAACCAAGUUACCCUAGGGAUAACAGCGCAAUCUACUUCAAGAGCUCAUAUCGACAAGUAGGUUUACGACCUCGAUGUUGGAUCAGGGUAUCCUAGUGGUGCAGCCGCUACUAAUGGUUCGUUUGUUCAACGAUUAAAACCCU
rnacentral:rRNA from 1 species